rnacentral:rRNA from 1 species
AUGGCAGAACUAGGCCUCCGAGAGGAGGACCUUGAUGAUGUGGUUUUCGAUGAGAACGAGGCCCCAGCUGGGGCAGCGUGGUGGAUAGCGCUCGUCAGGGUUCACUCCACCAAAACCUACAGCCAGUAUUGGUUCUUCAAGAACAUGCGCGCUGCAUGGGAUCUCGCCCGGGAGGUUCAGUUUAAACCGUUGGAAGAUAACCUGUAUACGGUGCAGUUUUCAUGUCUAGGCGAUUGGGAAAGAGUAACCCGUGAUGAUCCAUGGCACUUCCGGGGAGACGCGGUGAUCCUAAAACCAUAUGAUGGCUUGGCAAAGCCAUCUACAGUUCAGCUCGACACCAUCGAAAUAUGGGUACAGAUCCAUGAUGUACCACCCCUGUAUGCUCAUCUAGUGCCCUCUCUAGCUUCAAAGGUGGGCGAGGUUCUAUAUGCCGAACCACAAUCGCAAGACUUUGCGGGAAAUUUUCACCGCGUCUGGAUCCGGAGUCUCGAUGAUAAGGGAAGGAAAGCGCCAGAUAUACAGGUUAAAAUAUGA